AUCGAACGCUGGCGGCAGGCCUAACACAUGCAAGUCGAGCGAGCGGCGGACGGGUGAGUAAUGCCCGGGAAUUGCCCAGUCGAGGGGGAUAACAGUUGGAAACGACUGCUAAUACAGCAUACGAUUGGAUUGCCCAGGUGGGAUCAGCCAGUUGGUGAGGUAAUGGCUCACCAAGGCGACGACCCUAGCUGAUCUGAGAGGAUGAGCACACACACUGGAACUGAGACACGGUACAGACUCAUGCGGGAGGCAGCAGUGGGGAAUAUUGCACAAUGGGGGAAACCCGGAAGCAGCCGUGCCGCGUGUGAGGAGAAGGCCUUCAUGUUGUAGAGCACUUUCAGCGAGGAGGCGUGACUCGAAGAAGAAGCACCGGCUAACUCCGUGCCAGCAGCCGCGGUAAUUC
rnacentral:rRNA from 1 species